GGCCCGUUGGUCAAGCGGUUAAGACACCGCCCUUUCACGGCGGUAACACGGGUUCGAAUCCCGUACGGCUCA
rnacentral:tRNA from 1 species